UCCCAGGGGUCUAGCGGCUAAGGAUCCGGCACUCUCACCGCCAUGGCCUGGGUUCGAUUCCCGGGCAGGGAA